GGCAUUUUAAGGUAAGACUUACAAUGGCGCAGCCGGUCUCAAGCCCGGAAAAAGGAGGAGAGACCACCCAUGUGUGCCGGAUCACGUACAUGUGUGCAACAUACAUGCACGUGAUCCAGCACACAUAUAUAUUACAACCUAGGUUGGUGAGGCAGAGUAUUAUAUAUAACAAAGCUUUGUGUUGUCAUACGAAUUUCUAUUGUGUUCUUUGUUUGUGGUGACAUAAAUGAGACUAGCAUGAAAAGCUUUAUUACAGGCAGCAUAGCUUGUUGCUUGCCAAAGUGAAGAAUGGCGUGUGAAGAAGUGAAGAAACUGCAGGCACUAAGUUUACAGCAAACCACACAUGAAAAUACUCUGCAUACCAAAUAGGAUUUUGGUUGGGCCCUGCCGAAAAUAAAGUGAGUGCUGAGACAAACUCAUUUCAGUCGGGGAAGUAUGAGUUUGCUUGAUCUGUCAUGUUUUGACUUGCUAGUACAACAUGGCUGUCAACGAUAUAUGCCCAUAUACACAUAUGGUGUUUGCACAAGGGCAUGAUUACUUUUAAAUGGCGAUGUGCUCUCCAAAGAAGAAAAUGGAGAAAGAAACUGCAGGUCCUGUCAGUUAAUUGCAGCUUCAACACCAACACCUACUUAAAAUCGGUGCAAUAAAGCCUUGAGGUGCUCAGGAUGAGAAAAACAAAAGCCUAAGAUGAAAUUGGGACUGGUGUGUCUACCCAGCUACUUAUUCAGCGUAGAAACCCCAUUUACAACAACUUUGUUUGCUUCAAUUAACUGCAACAAUUUAGUAGCUGCAACAAGGACAUCAAGCAUCAGCCAAUACUAAGAGAGUGAAUCCCACUUGUAGUUGUAAUUCAUCCCUUGCUUCCUAACUAGCUACUAGAUUCACAAAUUAUUCCUACUACUGAGUUUAGUUGCUACACAUGAGUUCAUCAACAGACCAUUCUCUUACCAACUGGCAUAAAAUUAAGAUGCACUUACCAGAGAUUACAGCUGCUUCCCAUUCUCUUACCCCUGAUACCUACUCCGGAAUCAGCCAGCACGGCCCUCCGUGUCAACUGAAAGAAUGUGGCCCAAAGAAAUGGUUUCAUGUUUACGCUGAUUUGGAGCUACACAUCGCUAACUGAAACCAAUUCAGCAACGAUGAACAGCAAGAAAGAUUCUGCAAAUACAUGCAAACAGAGCAACCACAAGGCUACAACACAAGUGAAUACCAGAGCUACUAAUACAGAUCUCGGUCGCAGGCAGUAACGAAUCUGUUAUAGGUUAUGGUGAACAAAGCUAAACAGCUGUUGCUAUGGAAAUGCAGCUCUCUGCUCUUCCUCUUCCAUGAUGGCACCCAAACUCUACAUGGAUGGCUAUGGUAGUCUGCAAACAGUCUCUUUCUUUUUUUUGCAAAAUCAAACAGUCUAAAAUUGAUACACUAGCAACAAGAUAAUUGUGGUUAAUCGCUGGUGCUGCUGUGCGGCCUGUAGGUAGAUGUCUGUUCUAAAGCAGCAUAAAAGCUAAGGAUGCAGAGUCCUGUCAGAUCUUGUUCGAUCCCUGCAAGUAAAAGAAGCGCAGAGCUGGCAUUUGGGUUCUUGAUAGGAGGGCCAAGCAUUUGAGCAUUCUUGAGUUAUUUCUUCGAAUCGUUAUCCAACAUAUAUGUUCUUGGAGAAACUGCAGGUCGCUUGUGUUACUGAUGCUCUAUGCAUAAGUAUUCCUUAUCUGAACAUUGCAGGGAAAGACAACACCUGAGACUCUGAAUAAGUCUUUCCAUUCAGCCUCAGCGCCAAUACCUGCAUGCAUUCCCUUACAAAAAACACUUCCAUGCGGCCGGUGAUCGUGCAUUAUCAACGCCAUGGCCAACCUGUUGGCACAAGCCUUGAGAUCACAAUGAGGAAAUCAAUAUCUAUGUUGUGUUUGUUAUUGUAAAGAGGAUUUACAAGUGUACCUAGCUAUCUGGUUGUUCAAAGUCUCAACAUACAACAUCAUAUGUUCCUCAUCUAUUUACCAGAGGAUUGAGCUUUGAAAA